CGCUCAGGUGCGAAAGCGUGGGGAGCAAACAGGAUUAGAUACCCUGGUAGUCCACGCCGUAAACGAUGUCUACUUGGAGGUUGUGCCCUUGAGGCGUGGCUUCCGGAGCUAACGCGUUAAGUAGACCGCCUGGGGAGUACGGCCGCAAGGUUAAAACUCAAAUGAAUUGACGGGGGCCCGCACAAGCGGUGGAGCAUGUGGUUUAAUUCGAUGCAACGCGAAGAACCUUACCUGGUCUUGACAUCCACAGAACUUUCCAGAGAUGGAUUGGUGCCUUCGGGAACUGUGAGACAGGUGCUGCAUGGCUGUCGUCAGCUCGUGUUGUGAAAUGUUGGGUUAAGUCCCGCAACGAGCGCAAC
rnacentral:rRNA from 1 species